AUUCCAGCUCCAAUAGCGUAUAUUAAAGUUGUUGCAGUUAAAAAGCUCGUAGUUGGAUUUCUGGCAGGAGGAGCCGGUCACACACUCUGUGCGUGAACUCGUGCUGUCUCUGGCCAUCCUCGGGGAGAUCCUGUUUGGCAUUAAGUUGUCGGGCAGGGGAUACCCGUCGUUUACUGUGAAAAAAUUAGAGUGUUUAAAGCAGGCUUAUGCCGUUGAAUAUAUUAGCAUGGAAUAAUAAGAUAGGACUUCGGAACUAUUUUGUUGGUUUGCGUUACGAAGUAAUGAUUAAUAGGGACAGUUGGGGGUAUUCGUAUUUCGUUGUCAGAGGUGAAAUUCUUGGAUUUCCGAAAGACGAACUACUGCGAAAGCAUUUACCAAGGAUGUUUUCAUCA
rnacentral:rRNA from 1 species